rnacentral:rRNA from 2 species
UGCUCAGGACGAACGCUGGCGGCAUGCCUAAUACAUGCAAGUCGAGCGGACAGAAGGGAGCUUGCUCCCGGAAGUCAGCGGCGGACGGGUGAGUAACACGUGGGCAACCUGCCCCUUAGACUGGGAUAACUUCGGGAAACCGAAGCUAAUACCGGAUAACACUUUUUCCUACCUGGGAGAAAGUUAAAAGAUGGCCUUUGUGCUAUCACUAGGGGAUGGGCCCGCGGCGCAUUAGCUAGUUGGUAAGGUAAUGGCUUACCAAGGCGACGAUGCGUAGCCGACCUGAGAGGGUGAUCGGCCACACUGGGACUGAGACACGGCCCAGACUCCUACGGGAGGCAGCAGUAGGGAAUCUUCCGCAAUGGACGAAAGUCUGACGGAGCAAUGCCGCGUGAGUGAGGAAGGCCUUCGGGUCGUAAAGCUCUGUUGUGAGGGAAGAACAAGUAUCGGUUGAAUAAGCCGGUACCUUGACG